rnacentral:lncRNA from 1 species
CCCCGCAGACAGAAAACAAUCUUUGCUUUCGCAUCGGGAUUCAGAUAAACAAAGGCAUCGUCGCCUACCCCCUGAGAGCCCGGGCUGUAAUUGAGGUUAUUAGCUCUGCUAUUUUUCAGGCAGCAGAGCAGGCUGGCAAAGGGCCAGCCCCCCCCGCUCCAACAGCAUCCUGGCUGCUCCUGCAGCCCCCCUGCUUCUCCCCCCCAGGCUGCUUGUCCCCUGCUCGCAAGGGAGCUUUUGAGAUGGCAGCUUGUCGGUUAAAAAUGAAAUGAAAUUUUAAUGACUGCAAAACGUCCCCCUUUCCACCCGAUUGCCCUCUGGAGGAAGCAUUGGAAGCUGGGGACUGUCCGAGCGUGGUGGUGCAGGGGGGUGCUUCCCACCUGCUUUACCUGGGCUGUGUGGUCAUAAGGAGGAGAAAAUUAACAGAAUAGGUAUUUUAAUUAAAUGAAUUCAUCUGUGAUUGCCUUUUGGUGGCCAAGGAUGGGGAAAAGUGGCCAGGGGGGUUGUUGGUUUUACUCUGUAGCAGCUUAUACAGGGUUCAUCAAAGGCCCUUCCCUGCCUGGAUGUCCUUGCUGGAAAGACUCGAGCCUGGAGCAUCCCCAGCCGGGAGGAAUGGAGCACCACGAGGGGCGGAUUUGGUUCUGGUGUUGGUCUCAUGGCAAGGAGGGACCAAAAGCAAGCCUAUGGUGUAGCAUCUUGUCAUUCGGCUGUGAGAAAGGUACUGGGAACCCCGGUGUUCACCCAGGCUCCGCAGUCACUCCUCUGCUGGGUACGUGCUGCUGUGCUUCCGGACAGCCUGCCUGGCACCCUGCUGGGCUUUCCCUCCCUUCCUUACAGAAACCUCGUCAUCAGCAGUCACUUCUUCCUCCCGUGUCUGCUCACAAUCAGAGAAGAAGCUGCAGUCAUUGUUUUGCCUGCCCUGCAACUUUAUAG